rnacentral:rRNA from 1 species
UACGGGGGGGGUAAGCGUUGUUCGGAAUUACUGGGCGUAAAGGGCUCGUAGGCGGCCAACUAAGUCAGAACGUGAAAUCCCUCAGCUUAACUGGGGAACUGCGUCUGAUACUGGAUGGCUUGGAUUUGGGAGAGGGAUGCGGAAUUCCAGGUGUAGCGGUGAAAUGCGUAUAUAUCUGGAGGACACCGGUGGCGAAGGCGGCAUCCUGGACCAAUAUUGACGCUGAGGAGCGAAAGCCAGGGGAGCAAACGGGG